GCAUGUGUUGUGAGCUCGAUGAGUAGGGCGGGACACGUGGUAUCCUGUCUGAAUAUGGGGGGACCAUCCUCCAAGGCUAAAUACUCCUGACUGACCGAUAGUGAACCAGUACCGUGAGGGAAAGGCGAAAAGAACCCCGGCGAGGGGAGUGAAAAAGAACCUGAAACCGUGUACGUACAAGCAGUGGGAGCACCCUUUGGGGUGUGACUGCGUACCUUUUGUAUAAUGGGUCAGCGACUUAUAUUCUGUAGCAAGGUUAACCGAAUAGGGGAGCCGGAGGGAAACCGAGUCUUAAUUGGGCGUUAAGUUGCAGGGUAUAGACCCGAAACCCGGUGAUCUAGCCAUGGGCAGGUUGAAGGUUGGGUAACACUAACUGGAGGACCGAACCGACUAAUGUUGAAAAAUUAGCGGAUGACCUGUGGCUGGGGGUGAAAGGCCAAUCAAACCGGGAGAUAGCUGGUUCUCCCCGAAAGCUAUUUAGGUAGCGCCUCGUGAAUUCAUCUCCGGGGGUAGAGCACUGUUUCGGCUAGGGGGCCAUCCCGGCUUACCAACCCGAUGCAAACUGCGAAUACCGGAGAAUGUUAUCACGGGAGACACACGGCGGGUGCUAACGUCCGUCGUGAAGAGGGAAACAACCCAGACCGCCAGCUAAGGUCCCAAAGUCAUGGUUAAGUGGGAAACGAUGUGGGAAGGCCCAGACAGCCAGGAUGUUGGCUUAGAAGCAGCCAUCAUUUAAAGAAAGCGUAAUAGCUCACUGGUCGAGUCGGCCUGCGCGGAAGAUGUAACGGGGCUAAACCAU
rnacentral:rRNA from 1 species